GCUCUCCGGAGGCAGUGCCCCUGCAGGCGGAGAGGUGUCCUCGCGCGCCCUGGGGUGGGGUCCCCUGGCGCGUCGCCGCCCGGGUCCCGGUGGGCCUCGGAGUUGCCGGGUGUCGGGCCGCCGGACGCUUUGUGUCGAGCCCCGGGGCCUGCGGGAUCCUGUUCCGCAGAGCAGCUCUCCGAGGGGAGCCUUCCAGAGAAAGGCUCUGGGAAGCCAGCCUGCCACGCGGGCUCCCAUCCUCGCUGUCCCCGCUGGUGUUGCGUGAGGCAGGUCCUCCCAGCCGCAGCCGAGGCCGUCUCCUCCUCCCCGCAGGAUCCCAAGUUCCGCCCUGGGGAGCACCGAUCGGCCCUCCGGACCCCUCCCCGCUCCCGGCUCCGCCUCCGGGUUCCCCCGAGGUGCGUGUGCACCGAAACCGCUGCAGUGACUCACAGUUGCAGAUGUUCCCACUCUUCCUUUCUGGCGGAAGGUGGCGGGCUGCUGGCCUCGUGCCUGCGCCUGCCGCAUCCCAGAUGUGCCUGCUGAGCGAAUUCACGGCGGAACCGGCUCCGGAUUCCCAGGAGCCCGGCCUGAAUGGCUCGCGGGGAUCCCUCGCCCGCAUCUUCCUCCAGCUCUUUGCAGCGCCGGGCACGAUGUGAAUGAAUGAACGGCGGCUCGCGGGGACCCGGAGGAAGACAGGGGCCCACGCUCAGUGGGGCUCACAGUCCGGGAGGCGAGAGAGAACAGGUCCUUUGACAAUCACAGGGAAUGUGUCGCUUGUUUCCACCGCCAAGCGGCCGCCGUUAGGCGUUUGUCAAAUGCAAUGAGCUUAUGAGUUCCAUGUUCUCUCCAUUUCACCCAGGAGGACCCCGACACUCAAGACGAUGUGACUUAUCCAGGAACACGCAAGCUGGUGGGAUUGGCUGUUAGGACUCAAAUCCAGAUCACUCGGACCCCAGAGUUGAGGCCCUUCUCUGUCCGGCCUUUCCAGUCACCCCCACUUAGCACACCUCUAGGCAGCAAGCCCAGCAGAAGCUUCGGGGUGGAAAGUGCAUGAAUGGAGGUCUUGGAACCACGUUUAGCAUGGACUGGAGUGUAAAUCCCAGCGCCCGCCUCUCCCAGUCAUUCAGCCUCUCAACCCCUCAGAGAGAGCACACACAGGGGGAGCGGCAGGAGAAGAGAGAAGCAGGGUCUCCACUGAACAG